rnacentral:rRNA from 1 species
UACGGGGGGGGCAAGCGUUGUUCGGAAUUACUGGGCGUAAAGGGCUCGUAGGCGGCCAACUAAGUCGGAUGUGAAAUCCCCAGGCUUAACCUGGGAACUGCAUCCGAUACUGGAUGGCUUGAAUCCGGGAGAGGGAUGCAGAAUUCCAGGUGUAGCGGUGAAAUGCGUAGAUAUCUGGAGGAAUGCCGGUGGCGAAGGCGGCAUCCUGGACCGGCAUUGACGCUGAGGAGCGAAAGCUAGGGGAGCAAACGGG